rnacentral:rRNA from 1 species
AUUGAACGCUGGCGGCAUGCCUUACACAUGCAAGUCGAACGGCAGCACGGGUGCUUGCACCUGGUGGCGAGUGGCGAACGGGUGAGUAAUACAUCGGAACGUACCUUAUCGUGGGGGAUAACGCAGCGAAAGCUGUGCUAAUACCGCAUACGCCCUGAGGGGGAAAGCGGGGGAUCGCAAGACCUCGCGCGAUUAGAGCGGCCGAUGCCUGAUUAGCUAGUUGGUGGGGUAAAAGCCCACCAAGGCGACGAUCAGUAGCUGGUCUGAGAGGACGAUCAGCCACACUGGGACUGAGACACGGCCCAGACUCCUACGGGAGGCAGCAGUGGGGAAGUUUGGACAAGGGGGGCUACCCUGAACCAGCAAUGCCGCGUGAGUGAAGAAGGCCUUCGGGUUGUAAAGCUCUUUUGUCAGGGAAGAAACACCGGCCCUAACACAGUCCGGGAAUGACGGUACCUGAAGAAUAAGCACCGGCUAACUACGUGCCAGCCGCCGCCGUAA